UGCUUAUGUUCCUAAAUAAUUGAUUGGAAAAGGGUAAAAUGACAUUGUUUGUUUGUUUUCCUAAUUACUUGCCACCGUUUUGAGUUUUAUCUUCAUCGCCCAUUGUAUAUAUCUUCCAUAAGUGCUAAAUUGCUAUCGGUGGUAAGAAAGAUCUAUUUUUUAGUUUUGUUGAUACAAUAAGAAAGAUCUAUUUUCUCUCUUCUACCUCAAGUUCUAUGAUUUUUCAAUUUACAAAUCGUUCUGGAAACAAUUUUUAUAGCACAUUUUAUCAAUGUAUUAUUUUGUACAAUUAUAUGAAACUAUUUUAUAAGAUUUUUUUGUGGUAUAUAAGAAUAAUUUUGUUACUACAUUUAUUGUUAAUUAAAAAACAAAAAUACAAAAAAUAAAUAAAUAAAAACAUUUACCGUAUUAUGUGAAGAUCAAGUGUGCACCAAACAUAAGAUAUGAUAAAAUAAUGUUAUCCUCUUUUUUUUAUCACCAAACACAUGACAUGAUAUGUGUUUAUCAUGUCACUAUCCUAACAUAUCCUUAUCGUAUCUUAUCUUUAUUCUAUCCUGCGCAUCAAACGGGCCGUUAAUGUAUAAAAUCAAAAAUAUUUUAUACUCCUCGUGUAGCAUAUUGAAGAUAAUUAAAUAAAAUAAGCCAAUAUUUUAAGUUACCAUAUGUACUUACUAUUAGGGCUCGUUUGGUGCACAUUGUUGGAACAAAAUUGAUUUAAAUUGUUCCCCCUAAGCUUAUUAAAGUUUUAAUGAUAACAAAAUAUUAAAUGUACAAUUGGAGAUACUAAAAUUUAUUUUAAGUGUGCAGAACUAACUCUGAGAUAAGUUCUGAAGAAAGGUCAGAAGAUGAACGCUCAGAGUUUCAUAAUGAUUCAGAGGAUAUCAACGUCAGAAGUUAUGUCUAUCAGAGGUUGAGAACCUCAGGACUUGAUAACACAGAAGUUAGCAAAACUCUAAAUUGAUCUUGGUUUCUGUGAAGAUUGGUUCAUGAAGGUCAACACUUUUACCAAUGAAGAAAACGACCUCUCAAGAAGAUCAGAACAACAUCUUACAUUUUUUCCUAGUCUCUAGGAGAGAACGUGACUUGUCUGGUCUCUUAGCUUAAAAUGGAAACUCCUCUCAGUGAUAUACAUACUAGAUGAAGUGGAUUGCAUACAUACAACACACGCACGUACAAGCUAUCAUCUUAUAAUCCAAGACUACUCUCGUUUUGUGAGAGGAACUAGUAUAAAUAUGAUGUGUGUUUUUCUCUCUCUCUUGAUUUCCUUUGUGUGUUUGAUUAAUUUAUCCGC
rnacentral:lncRNA from 1 species